rnacentral:rRNA from 1 species
CAGUCGCCGCGGUAAUACGUAGGUGGCAAGCGUUGUCCGGAUUUACUGGGCGUAAAGGGCGCGUAGGCGGGCUGAUAAGUCAGGGGUGAAAUCCCAAGGCUCAACCUUGGAACUGCCUUUGAUACUGUUUGUCUUGAGUUCGAGAGAGGUAAGUGGAACUGCGAGUGUAGAGGUGAAAUUCGUAGAUAUUCGCAAGAACACCAGUGGCGAAGGCGGCUUACUGGCUCGAAACUGACGCUGAGGCGCGAAAGCGUGGGGAGCAAACAGGAUUAGAUACCCCUGUAGUCCCUGUCUCUUAUAC